GAUGAACGCUGGCGGCGUGCCUAAUACAUGCCAGUCGAGCGAACAGACGAGGAGCUUGCUCCUUUGACGUUAGCGGCGGACGGGUGAGUAACACGUAGGUAACCUACCUAUAAGACUGGGAUAACUUCGGGAAACCGGAGCUAAUACCGGAUAAUAUUUCGAACCGCAUGGUUCGAUAGUGAAAGAUGGCUUUGCUAUCACUUAUAGAUGGACCAGCGCCGUAUUAGCUAGUUGGUAAGGUAACGGCUUACCAAGGCAACGAUACGUAGCCGACCUGAGAGGGUGAUCGGCCACACUGGAACUGAGACACGGUCCAGACUCCUACGGGAGGCAGCAGUAGGGAAUCUUCCGCAAUGGGCGAAAGCCUGACGGAGCAACGCCGCGUGAGUGAUGAAGGUCUUCGGAUCGUAAAACUCUGUUAUUAGGGAAGAACAAACGUGUAAGUAACUGUGCACGUCUUGACGGUACCUAAUCAGAAAGCCACGGCUAACUACGUG
rnacentral:rRNA from 1 species